rnacentral:rRNA from 1 species
UGGGGAAUAUUGCACAAUGGGCGCAAGCCUGAUGCAGCCAUGCCGCGUGUGUGAAGAAGGCCUUCGGGUUGUAAAGCACUUUCAGCGAGGAGGAAGGUGGUGAGCUUAAUACGCUCAUCAAUUGACGUUACUCGCAGAAGAAGCACCGGCUAACUCCGUGCCAGCAGCCGCGGUAAUACGGAGGGUGCAAGCGUUAAUCGGAAUUACUGGGCGUAAAGCGCACGCAGGCGGUUUGUUAAGUCAGAUGUGAAAUCCCCGGGCUCAACCUGGGAACUGCAUUUGAAACUGGCAAGCUAGAGUCUCGUAGAGGGGGGUAGAAUUCCAGGUGUAGCGGUGAAAUGCGUAGAGAUCUGGAGGAAUACCGGUGGCGAAGGCGGCCCCCUGGACGAAGACUGACGCUCAGGUGCGAAAAGCGUGGGGCAGCAAACAGGAUUAGAUACCCUGGUAGUCCACGCUGUAAAACGAUGUCGAUUUUGGAGGUUGUGCCCUUGAGGCGUGGCUUCCGGAGCUAACGCGUUAAAUCGACCGCCUGGGGAGUACGGCCGCAAGGUUAAAACUC